rnacentral:pre_miRNA from 1 species
GGGGGUGUAAGUCACUGGAGGCAGCGGUUCAUCGAUCUCUUCCUGAAUUUUGUUGUGUGAAAAGCGCAAAGCAUGAAUCGGUCGAUAAACCUCUGCAUCCAGCGCUCACUUUGCC